rnacentral:lncRNA from 1 species
AUUCACGAUUUAGUUCGAAGGUGAAUGAGGCGAGUGUAUGGUUUUUUGGCGAGGCGGGUUUGUCUCAAAACUUCACAGUAUCUCGUCGAACCUGCGUGGAGGUUUGUUGGAGUUGUGUGGUGGAGGUGAUAGUCGUUUUUCGGCGAUGAAAAAAAACUUAGAUCUCUUUCUUCUUUUUAAUUUUUCUGUGUUGUCUUUUGAUGUUGUUG